UAUUAAGCGAUGAUUGGGAUUAGUAGAUUUUUAUAGAUAUUAAGAGAGGAAGUGGAUGGUGCAAACUUCUUACUAUAUUUUUCGAAGCUACCUAUGAGCUAUAAAUUACUAAGUGAUGUAUUAUAUUAUUAAUACAUAAUUAGGGUGGUACCGCGGAAAUAAUAGCUUUCGUCCCUUUU
rnacentral:ncRNA from 1 species